rnacentral:rRNA from 1 species
CCUACGGGAGGCAGCAGUGGGGAAUAUUGGACAAUGGGCGAAAGCCUGAUCCAGCCAUGCCGCGUGUGUGAAGAAGGUCUUCGGAUUGUAAAGCACUUUAAGUUGGGAGGAAGGGCUGUAAGCGAAUACCUUGCAGUUUUGACGUUACCGACAGAAUAAGCACCGGCUAACUUCGUGCCAGCAGCCGCGGUAAU